GUGAAUCAUGAGCCAGAAAACUCAAAAAGAGAGAGUAAGCAGGAGUUACAUCCCUUUUGGUGAACCAGCAUUGGUGUCCGUUUUCCCUGAACUGAGUUACAAGGCCAAGUACAAAAGGAGAGAAGAGACAGACAUGAUGUCCCAUUUUAACUUGGAAUGCUUUGGUUAUUGUCCCCCAACAGUGCUUCUCUAAUGCUUUGGUACCAUAUAAGCUCCCAG
rnacentral:lncRNA from 1 species